AGGCAGCAGUGGGGAAUCUUGCACAAUGGGCGGAAGCCUGAUGCAGCGACGCCGCGUGCGGGACGAAGGCCUUCGGGCUGUAAACCGCUUUCAGCAGGGACGAGGCGAAAGUGACGGUACCUGCAGAAGAAGCCCCGGCUAACUAC
rnacentral:rRNA from 1 species